UACGGGGGGUGCAAGCGUUGUUCGGAAUUACUGGGCGUAAAGCGCACGCAGGCGGAUUCGUAAGUCAAUUGUGAAAGCCCUGGGCUUAACCUAGGAAUUGCAGUUGAAACUGCGGACCUUGAAUACUUGAGAGGAUGACGGAAUUCCUGGUGUAGAAGUGAAAUUCGUAGAUAUCAGGAGGAACACCCGAGGCGAAGGCGGUUAUCUGGCAAGCUAUUGACGCUGAGGUGCGAAAGCGUGGGGAGCAAACAGG
rnacentral:rRNA from 1 species